GUCCCUGCACCUAGUUGGAGGGGACUGAACGACAACGGGGCGCUACUCAGGCAACCUGGGGGACUCCCCCAAGGGCUGUCAGGCUUCAGCUGGGAGCCGAUGCAACACCCCAGCGGGGAGGGGAGGUCGGCCCAUUCUAAUCCCGACGUGUCCUUGGUCCCAGGCGCUCGGAGCAGCAUCUGAGAGGGCUCACUCUGAUCAUCAGCUGCACGUUAAGCCACAAACCGGCGUCGCUUCGGCGUUCCGGAACCCAGGCCUGGGGGCCGCGGGGAUUGCCUCUGCGUGCAACUCCGGAAAGUUUCAAGGGGUCCCCCGACUGCACAGGUCCGGAAAUCGGCUUUGAUAUGGAACUACUCCGCUCUAGCCUGGAAAGGAGACCCGCGCACUCCUCUCGCAGCUAAUUUCGGAUCAUUAAUUUAAUCGGAAAUGAGGUAACCAGUGUAGGAGACAGAGAAAGCAACCGGAGCAUCAAAUGGCAGUUCUCGAGAAUCGACGAGGAACUUAAAUCUGGACUCAGGGUUUCAGUGCGGUCUCCGACUCCCACCACCCCGCCCCUCCGCCUGUCUCGCCGCCAGGUGUGACCUCCACGCGAAGGAAUCUUCUUCGGAUGGGUGCACCUUGCCAACAGGUGUGGCACCUGGAGGACUAGGAGGCGCCUCCAGACUAAGGGCGCUCAGUGCGGCGUUCUUGUUGCAGAUGAUUCUGGAAGGCCGGUAGGUGUCGGGCGACAUUUGACCUUCUUCAGGUGCUUAGAACUAAGUGUCUGGAAACAUGAUCCUUUCGCGUAAGUUUCUUUCUGAAAGCCACCAAUCUUGACUGUAAGCUGUAUUUGAGAGAUCUUUUGGCUGAGUUUACUUAUGACCUAACGGUUAGUCACCAACUGAGGCAGGGCACAGGAUGACCAAAAAAAAAGUGUCAGUUUUUACACAACUCUGGCCUGCAAGAGCCUACGUGCUUCAUAAAUAAAAAUAAACAUACGAGCGAGGAAGGUGCAGAGCCCCGGAAAUAUUUUUUUCUCACAUUUUUGAAAUACCAUGCACAUAUAUGUGGCUAUUUAAGUAUAACUACUAGUGUUCACUCUUACUCAUUUCUACAACUUUUUUUUUUCCAUUUAAAAAUCGAUUAUUGUUACGGUUUAAACCUCGGGUUGGUCUAAAGUGACAUUGUUGGUCUCAUUACAGCCUCUAGUGGACAGUUAACAUCAGUUUCCUGAAAAGGCUCUGACUGGUUUUGUUUUCGUUGACAAGCUUUGUCAAGGUGAAGGUUAGUACGUAAGAGCAUAACCGGGUAAAAUGUCCCCUCACCCCUAUCCUCACCCCCGCCCCCAACACCCUGCUUGGCAAAGACGACUUCAGAAAGGAGCAGAAGCUUGUUGGCUUUAUAUAGAAAAGACGUAUGCUUUGUGCUGCAGGUAUUAUUAUUACUGGACUGUGAAUAAACAGAAAGCUUCUGCUAUU
rnacentral:lncRNA from 1 species